GACGAACGCUGGCGGCGUGCUUAACACAUGCAAGUCGAACGAUGAACCCGGAGCUUGCUCCGGUGGAUUAGUGGCGAACGGGUGAGUAACACGUGAGUAACCUGCCCUUGACUCUGGGAUAACUGCGGGAAACUGUAGCUAAUACCGGAUACGACCCUCGGCGGCAUCGCCAGGGGGUGGAAAGAAUUUCGGUCAAGGAUGGACUCGCGGCCUAUCAGCUAGGUGGUGAGGUGACGGCUCACCAAGGCGACGACGGGUAGCCGGCCUGAGAGGGUGAGCGGCCACACUGGGACUGAGACACGGCCCAGACUCCUACGGGAGGCAGCAGUGGGGAAUAUUGCACAAUGGGCGCAAGCCUGAUGCAGCAACGCCGCGUGAGGGAUGACGGCCUUCGGGUUGUAAACCUCUUUUAGUAGGGAAGAAGCGAAAGUGACGGUACCUGCAGAAAAAGCACCGGCUAACUACGUGCCAGCCGCCGCCGUAA
rnacentral:rRNA from 1 species